rnacentral:ncRNA from 2 species
CCCUACGGUCAUCCCGACGGCUCCCUUCGGGGAUUAAUAGGGAAUGCGGUGCAGGGGAUUGCCCUUAUGCCGCAGCUGCCCCCGCAACUGUAAGCGGUGAACCUCGCGUCAUAUGCCACUGGUAUCUCGGACCGGGAAGGCGACGUAGAGGUCACGACCCGCGAGCCAGGAGACCUGCCGUCAGCCGUGGUCACAC